rnacentral:sRNA from 24 species
UCGAUCCUCAGGUAGGUGAGGCUCCCGUGUGACACACAGGCCGCUGCCCAGAAGUAUCCAAAGAUACGGCGCAACAGGGUAGAACAGGCACUCCCGGAUUAAGGGUUUGCCUAAGGCGGCUGAGGCGAUAAGCGUCUCUUACGGUGCACGGUGCUGAAGCUUGAACGAGUGGGGGAAUC